UCCACACAAUUGUUUGUUUUCAAACUUGGUUUUUUCAUGUUUGGGUUUUCGUUUUUUUCCUGUUUAUUUUUUCUGGUGAGGGAAAUGAGGAGAAA
rnacentral:ribozyme from 1 species